rnacentral:lncRNA from 10 species
UUUAGUCCUUUUACAUUUACCAUUAUUAUUGAUAGGUAAAGACUUACUACUGCUAUUGUGUUAUUUGUUUUCUGGUUGUUUUGUAAGUCCUCUUUUCCUUCUUUGUCCUCCUUUGUGGAUAAGUAAUAUUCUCUGGUAGUAUGUUUUAAUUCCUUGCUUUUUAUAUUUAGUGUGUUUAUUAUAGGUUUCUUCCUUUGUGACUACCAUGAGAAUACCACAAUUUUGAACUUUCCCCCCAAACACUGAAAAGUAUAUUGUCUUUUUCUUUUUCUUUUUUUAAAGUUUGACAUGAUGAAAUAUGAAAGAUCAUGGAAUUAGUCUGAGCUGUAUUAUUAUAUUAAACUAUUAAUCUGAGAGUUUUAUAAUUUAUAACUAAUUAUCACUGACAUUUAUGACUGUCACACCCAGGUACCAUGGAGUUAUAUCUAAUUCAUUCUUGGAUGUGAACAUUACCUUUCUUUAAAAUUCCUAAGAGGAAAAGACAAAAUGCUUCCCAAGAAAUAAAACCAAUGGGAAAGGCAACAAGUAACAUAAAGGCAUUUGUCUUCAUUAACCAAAAUUGAGAAUACAGUGUGUGAACUAAACUUCCAAGACUUUUAAUCUAGCUAAUGCUAGAAUUGUAAUGUGCAAUAUCAUCAAAUGCUUCUUUUUGGGUAGCAAUCUUUAAAUCUGGAAGAAAAACCUUGCCUUAUUUUUUAUAUUCUUUUUUCAUAAUUUCUGAAAAAUUUAACCCUUUAUUUUGUGAGUUACUGGUUUUUGUUUUUCCUUCUGAUCUUAAAUGCUCUGUGUGUAUGAAGGGUAUUAUGUUGUCAAGUAAGUCACAUAUAUAUUUUUAGUUGUAGGUAGCUUUUUUAUAUAAACUAUAAAAGUAAAAAUAUAUAUAAAAGUACAUAAAUUACAAAUGAGAUUUAUGAUGCAUAUAAUUGUAGUUUGUUCAUUUGCAUUGCUAUAUAGUAUUCCAUCAUGUGAAGAUACCACAAUUUAUAUCACCAUUCUGCUGUUGAUGAAUAUUAUGAUUUCCUUUUCUGUUUCAGGCUUCUAUGACUAAUGCUGCUAUGA